rnacentral:rRNA from 1 species
GAACUAGGAGACGUUGGUCGGGCGUAUGCUCUGUACCAGCUUUCCUGUUCUCCCUAUGGGAUACUCACCUUUACUCUUAACUGGGCGAAGGUAAAAGCAUUGUAUGGUUGGGGCAACCUGGUCAUGCAGUGUGGAGUUCCCAUUCGUUUACUUUGAAUAAAUUAGGGUGUUCAAAGCAGGCAAAUAAAGAGCCUUGAAUACUACAGCAUGGGAUAACGGAAUACGAUUUCGGUUCAUAUUUCGUUGGUUUCUGGAGCCGAAGUA